rnacentral:rRNA from 1 species
AGAUAGAAGUACUUCGGUACAUCGGUGACAGGUGGUGCAUGGUUGUCGUCAGCUCGUGUCGUGAGAUGUUGGGUUAAGUCCCGCAACGAGCGCAACCCUCGACCUUAGUUGCCAGCAUUCAGUUGGGCACUCUAAGGUGACUGCCGGCUAAAAGUCGGAGGAAGGUGGGGAUGACGUCAAAUCAUCAUGCCCCUUAUGACCUGGGCUACACACGUGCUACAAUGGGCGGUACAAAGGGUCGCGAACCCGCGAGGGGGAGCCAAUCCCAAAAAGCCGCUCUCAGUUCGGAUUGCAGGCUGCAACUCGCCUGCAUGAAGCCGGAAUCGCUAGUAAUCGCGGAUCAGCAUGCCCGCGGUCGAAUACGUUCCGGGCCUU